UACGUAGGGACCGAGCGUUGUCCGGAAUCAUUGGGCGUAAAGAGCGUGUAGGCGGCUAUUUAAGUCCUGCGUGAAAUCCUGCGGCUCAACCGCAGACGGUCGUGGGAAACUGGAUGGCUAGAGUGCGGGAGAGGAGAGUGGAAUUCCUAGUGUAGAGGUGGAAUUCGUAGAUAUUAGGAAGAACACCAGUGGCGAAGGCGGCUCACUGGUCCGGUACUGACGCUGAGGUGCGAAAGCGUGGGGAGCAAACAGG
rnacentral:rRNA from 1 species